UACGUAGGUGGCAAGCGUUGUCCGGAUUUACUGGGCGUAAAGCGCGUGUAGGCGGCUGGUUAGGCGUGAUGUGAAAUCUUCCGGCUCAACCGGAAAACUGCAUUGCGAACCGGCCUGGCUAGAGUGCAGGAGAGGGAAGCGGAAUUCCAGGUGUAGCGGUGAAAUGCGUAGAUAUCUGGAGGAACACCGGUGGCGAAGGCGGCGUUCUGGACUGCAACUGACACUGAGGAACGAAAGCCAGGGGAGCAAACGGG
rnacentral:rRNA from 1 species